rnacentral:rRNA from 1 species
AAGACCUUGCGCUUUUGGAGCGGCCGAUGCCUGAUUAGCUCGUUGGUAAGGUAAAAGCUUACCAAGGCUUCGAUCAGUAGCUGGUCUGAGAGGACGGCCAGCCACACUGGGACUGAGACACGGCCCAGACUCCUACGGGAGGCAGCAGUGGGGAAUUUUGGACAAUGGGGGCAACCCUGAUCCAGCCAUGCCGCGUGAGUGAAGAAGGCCUUCGGGUCGUAAAGCUCUUUCAGCCGGAACGAAACGGUUACGGUUAAUACCCGUGACUACUGACGGUACCGGAAGAAGAAGCACCGGCUAACUACGUGCCAGCAGCCGCGGUAAUACGUAGGGUGCGAGCGUUAAUCGGAAUUACUGGGCGUAAAGCGUGCGCAGGCGGUUUUGUAAGUCAGAUGUGAAAGCCCCGGGCUCAACCUGGGAACU